UCUUUUGACAUCUUUUUAAGAGUUUCUGUUGUAAUCCUGGUUGGAUUGAUCUAAGAUAAAGAAACUUUGAGCGAGAAAUGCAUGAUGGGUGCCUCCUUUUGUGGAAUUUGUAUAAAUUUUUACUAGGUUAUACUUUUGAGCUAAUCUUUCCAUAGUUAUCAAAAGUGCCGAACACGUACCAGAAGGAAAUUGAGGAACUUGAUUAUAAAUAGGGUAGGGAUACCAAAAUUACUAUGCUGAGGUUGAUGAUGGUGAUGAGUAAUUAUAUUUUGUUUAACAGGAAAACUGACUAAUGUGUCUUAAUACCUUUGUAAUUAAACUGGUUUGAUUGUAAGGUGUUGGUAUGAAUGUGUUUUUUUCUACAUACUCUAAAGGAAAUAUUGGCUUUGGCCUUAGGAUUAUGCUGCUGGAAUUAGUUUUUCCCAAACCAUGAAAGCUAUUUAAAUUUCUCUAAAUUCUGUCAUCGUAUUAUCAAUUAUUAGGAGCUGUUGUUUAAACGCUAUUAUUGAUGAAAAUGAUAGAAAAUAGGACAUGUUUAGUGUUGAUUUUUAUAUGGAUCAAAAGUUCAAACUAUUAGAUUGUGAUUCAAAUUGUCUUAGGAGUAUUAUAGUUGUAGAACAUUUUCUGGAUGCAAAGAAAAGGUUAGAACAUAAACCGAGUCCAAAGUCUUGUUCUUCGUCACCAAAAUUUAACAUAACAUAUCUCUAGGUGUCUUCUUCUUUGUCACCAAAAUUCAACUUGAACCGAGUUCAAAUGAAUUUAUUAUGAAUUUUCUAAAAUGACUGCCAUGUUCUUGUAGGUUUGGGAGAAUGGUUAUAAAUUAUAAACUCAGCUAGGAAUUUCAUGCCCAAAAUAAAUCCCUAUAAACUAAAAAUUCAUGGCUUUUCUUUGUCCGUGGUUUUGUUGAUUUUCGACUUUGGAGUUGAUCGGAAUGAAUUUUCAGAAUCAGUAUGUCUUUGAAUUUAUGUAAAAGCAUACUGAAAAUUGAAAUGCUUGAUUGUUAACCUUGUUUUGGCUAAGUUGUGAAAGAUAGAUUUUCCAAAGUGUAUCUUGUGGUAGUUUUGAACUGAUCUAAGUUCUAUUAUGAAUUAUUAGCAUUCUGUAUAAACAAAAGACAAAGAUUGUGAACUAAGAAAAUAAAUAUUACUGUAUAUUACUAGUAGGUUGUGAAACACAUCAAAAUAUUCCUCAACUGAGUUUAUAAAUUAGAAAUGAAGGGAUAUGGAAUUAUAUAUAGCCUUAUGAUUGAUGUGUAUUACUAGUAUUAAUUAAUAUGACAAUAAUGUUAUAAGGUAACCAAACCCCAUAUGGUAGCCGAGGAAAAGAGAAAGAAUAGGAGUCGACGGGCCUGGUGAAACUCAUAUUUGAGGCAAUCGUCAAUCAACCGCCAGCAACCACUGCCACCGCCACGUCAUCUCCCUUGUUAUUCUUGAGUUUGCCCCUAAACCCUAAAUUCUCCCAAAAAGUGAAGCUAAAACCAUACGCUGAAUCUCUUGACUCCCAUGAAUCCAGCCCCAAAACACCCUAUUUUCUGCGUAAAAUGGCCCUGGAACAGCAAUCUCAAUUGGAACAAUAACAAUCCCCCCUGCACCCUCGACACUCCUUGGGUUUUCAAGUCUGUAAGGAAUUUGGGCGUUGCCGCCUUCAAAUUGAUUAAUUCUGCCACUAACACCCAAAUCCGAUUCAACCAUCAAGAGACCAGCAGAUCCGAACAAGUGCAAGGAGAGGCUGAGCAAAGAGGCAAGAGACGCCACACUGCUUGAGUUUUACUCUCCCAAGUGUAGACUCUGCAAUUCUCUGCGCCCAUUUGUCACAGAAAUCGAGAACCGUAACUCUGAUUGGUUCAACAUUGUUAUGGCUGAUGCUGAGAAUGAUAUGUGGCUACCUGAGCUUCUCCAUUAUGACAUCAAGUAUGUACCGUGCUUUGUCCUAGUUGAUAAACACGGCAAUGCCCUGGCAAAAACGGGCAUUCCAAACAGUCGACUCCAUGUUGUGGCUGGUGUUUCCCAUCUGCUCAAAAUGAGACGCCCUGUGAAGAAUUAGAGAUGGUCAUUUGUCUCGAUUCAUAUGAGAUCGAACACAAUGGUAGCUCAGCCAGAUGUGACCUGUCCAGUGCACACUUUCCAGGUUUUUCAGCUGUGAAAGUUGUAUCAUACCUUUUCUCUGGCUAUGCCUUUUAACAUGAGAAGUGUGUGAGAUUGUCUCUGAUGAGUCAACGACAGGUUAAAUAUUCGGAUCAAGCUCGUAUUUGAUGGAAUAUUUGUGUUGGUAUUGUUAUGGGUCUUACAUAUGUUUAGAGAAGACUAUAUAUCCAUGGAAAAAGAAUACUCCUAUAUCGAACUUGUGAGAAUUAUGUCUUUGUGCUGUUUUUCUCACAUGUGUUGGUGUUGUUGAUACCUCCUGGUUCAAUAAGAUCUACAGGUUAUUUGAUA